rnacentral:rRNA from 1 species
GACCUCAAAUCGGGUGAGACUACCCGCUGAACUUAAGCAUAUCAAUAAGCGGAGGA